rnacentral:tRNA from 1 species
GUGGGUGUAGCUCAGCUGGUUAGAGCGCCGGAUUGUGGUUCCGGAGGUCGCGGGUUCGAAACACGUCACUCACCCCA